rnacentral:rRNA from 1 species
AGACAGACACUGUUGUCUUCCUCUUUAAUUUUUAAGAAACAAACAGGAAACGUAACUCUUUCAAUAAAUAUGUCAUUUGGCAUGAAUCACAUGAUAAGAAUAUCAUAGAUCAUCCAAUAAAGAUUUUUAGGUGCCUAUAUCGGCGGUGUCUACCUCUUCCCAUUCCGAACAGAGCAGUCAAGCCCGCCAGAGCCGAUGGUAUUGCCGUAACAGGUGGGAGAGUAGGUCGGUGCCUUUU